rnacentral:rRNA from 1 species
AUGAACGCUGGCGGCGUGCCUAAUACCUGCAAGUCGCGCGAACGGACGAGAAGCUUGCUUCUCUGAUGUUAGCGGCGGACGGGUGAGUAACACGUGGAUAACCUACCUAUAAGACUGGGAUAACUUCGGGAAACCGGAGCUAAUACCGGAUAAUAUUUUGAACCGCAUGGUUCCAAAGUGAAAGACGGUCUUGCUGUCACUUAUAGAUGGAUCCGCGCUGCAUUAGCUAGUUGGUAAGGUAACGGCUUACCAAGGCAACGAUGCAUAGCCGACCUGAGAGGGUGAUCGGCCACACUGGAACUGAGACACGGUCCAGACUCCUACGGGAGGCAGCAGUAGGGAAUCUUCCGCAAUGGGCGAAAGCCUGACGGAGCAACGCCGCGUGAGUGAUGAAGGUCUUCGGAUCGUAAAACUCUGUUAUUAGGGAAGAACAUAUGUGUAAGUAACUGUGCACAUCUUGACGGUACCUAAUCAGAAAGCCACGGCUAACUACGUG